CUGCAGAGGCCUCCGGCGCAAUGUAAGUCGUUCUUGUCUAAACCUGUGGACUGUAACUCCUUUAAGUGUAAACAUUUUGUUCCUUCACCUCCAUCACCUUCACCAUUUCCUUCACCUACAGCACCGGUAACACCUUCUCCAUCACCUUCUACGCCUUCACCAUUUCCUUCACCUACAACACCGGUAACACCACCUUCACCCUCACAUUCCCCUCCAUCACCUUCUACGCCUUCACCUACAACACCGGUUACACCUUCUCCCUCACAUUCACCUCCAUCACCUGCUACACCUUCACCAUUUCCUUCACCUACAACACCGGUAACACCUUCACCCUCACAUUCCCCUCCAUCACCUGCUACACCUUCACCAUUUCCUUCACCUACAACACCGGUAACACCUUCACCCUCACAUUCCCCUCCGUCACCUGCUACACCUACAACACCGGUAACACCUUCACCUUCACAUUCCCCUCCGUCACCUGCUACACCUUCACCAUUUCCUUCACCUACAACACCGGUAACACCUUCACCUUCACAUUCCCCUCCGUCACCUGCUACACCUUCACCAUUUCCUUCACCUACAACUCCUGUAACACCUUCACCUCCAUCGCCUUCUACUCCUUCACCCUUUCCUUCACCUACGACACCUGUGACACCUUCACCUGUUCAUAGUCCUCCUUCUCCAGUGUAUUUGCCACCGCCACAUUCUUCCCCUACACCACCUGCUCAUAAUUACGGCUCUCCGCCACCCCAUCACUCACCCGCUCAACCUGUUUAUCCUUAUUUAUCACCGCCACCUCCUCCCUCUGUCCAUUCUUCACCUCCACCACCACCACCACCACCUUGUAUAGAACUUCCUCCACCCCCUCCCCAAUCUACACCUUCUCCCACACCUUACCUGCCACCACCAUCCCCAUCUCCUCCCCCGCCACCGCCACCGGUAUACCAUUCUCCACCGCCGGCAUCACCGCCUCCGUGCGAAACUCCAC
rnacentral:lncRNA from 1 species